rnacentral:rRNA from 1 species
AUGGCGCCAGUCACAGGGAGCUGCAAGAAGAAGAGAGACACGGAGAGUAGCCCGGUGUCCGAGCUCUCCGACGACCUCCUCGUCGAGAUCUUCUCUCGCGUGCCCUACAAGUCCACAUGCUGCUGCAAGUGCGUUUCCAGGCGAUGGCGCGACCUCGUCUCCCACCCGGACCACCGCAAGAAGCUGCCCCAGUCGACCCUCGCCGGCAUCUUCUACCAAAUCCGCAACAAGAAUACAGGUUACCAAAGCCUAUCGGGGAACUGGACGCACCUUGGUCCCAAGAAUAUAGCAGACUACGUGGUGUGCAAUCCCGUCACUGAAAGAUGGGUGGUUGUGCGUGCCACCAACUGCUCCAGCAACGCCUCGAUCGCUCGCCUGGGGUUCGACCCGGCCGUCUCCUCCCACUUCCAUGUGUUCGAGUUUGCGCCUGCCGGUUUUGCGGGUGCGAAUAGACCGACGAUUGCUGGUGCUACUACAGACAUCAAAUCAGUGGGGAUCUACUCAUCCCAAGCUGCAGUUUGGGCACGUCGAGCUGCUUGGAAGAGUCCAAUAUCGGUACGCCGCACUUCAGAAAGCGUGUUUUUCAGGGGGAUGCUGCAUCUGUGUACGAAUGCUGGUUUGGUUAUAGGUGUUGGCGUGGAGGGAAACCGUAGGGUCAUCCGUGCCCCGAUGACACAUUCUGAUGGUGAUGUUCAUAAUGUUUAUCUAUCACAAGGGCAAUUGCAUUUCGCAAAUAAGGGUGCUUCUGAACAAUCAAUAGGGGCUCUUGAAGGUUCUAAUGGUGAAAACUGGACCUUGAAGCACAAUGUCACCUACUUGCAACUAUUGGGAAUAGAGUUCUCAUCGUUUGUGUGGAAUUACGAUGCUUUCGUCCACCCAGAAAAAAGUGUGAUAUUUAUAGUAUUGAAUUAUUCCGCAUCCCCCGGCACGAGUCACCAAUCAAGUACAAAACUAAUGUCAUACACAGUGGAUUCUAAGGAGCGCCGUUUUAUAUGUGAUCUUGGAUCAAACUGUAGAGCUCCUUAUAUUUCAUAUGUUCCUCUGUUCAUUGGCAUA